GUUACCUGUUUACUUGUGUCUCUGUAUCCUGCUGGACUAUAUGCCCUUUAAAGCAAGUAGAGCACAUUACUCAUCACUCAAUCUCCAGGACCAAGUUAAUGUUCUGUGUAUAGUAAUGUCGAUAGCAACAUCUCCCCCAGGUGUAACAACUAAACGUGUCUCCAGACAUUGGCAAAUAUCCUUGGGCCAUGGAGAAAACAUCACCUUCAAUUGAAAACCACUGGGCCACUCUAAUGCCUUCAAGUAGAGACGGGGUUUCUCCAUGUUGGCCAGACUGGUCUCGAAUGCCUGACUUCAGGCGAUCCACCCGCCUCAGCCUCCCAAAGUGCUGGGAUUACAGGUGUGAGCCACUGUGCCCGGCCAGAAUGUCUAAUUUUAAAAGGUGCUAGAGAUCUUCCAUCUAAGCUUCUCACUUUAAAAGAGAUACUGGAUUGUAAGAGGAAGCCAAGAGUCUCAGGCCCUUCGCCCUUGCUUCUCAGAAAAGAACAGCUAACCAUUGCCAACCAGAAUGCAUAGAAACUGAACUACUUCUGUGUCUGCAAUCGUCAUCUUGGACAAAUUACCUAAACUGCUUGGGCUGAGAUAUGUGAAUUCAGAUAUUGAAGCUUAUUUAUACCUUCAUAAUUCUAUGCUUCCAUAAUGAUUAAAUCCACCAUAGUAAUAAAUAAAGGCCUUAA